UACAGAGGGUGCGAGCGUUGUUCGGAAUUAUUGGGCGUAAAGGGCGCGUAGGCGGCGCCACAAGUCACUUGUGAAAACUCUGGGCUCAACUCAGAGCCUGCAAGCGAAACUGUGGUGCUGGAGUAUGGGAGAGGUGCGUGGAAUUCCCGGUGUAGCGGUGAAAUGCGUAGAUAUGUGGAGGAAUACCGAUGGCGAAGGCAGCCCCCUGGGUCAAGACUGACGCUCAUGCACGAAAGCGUGGGGAGCAAAAGGG
rnacentral:rRNA from 1 species